UAAUCUAUAGCGUGAGGAAGAAACCAACCGGGAUUGCCUUAGUAACGGCGAGUGAAGCGGCAAAAGCUCAAAUUUGAAAUCUGGUACCUUCGGUGCCCGAGUUGUAAUUUGGAGAGGGCAACUUUGGGGCCGUUCCUUGUCUAUGUUCCUUGGAACAGGACGUCAUAGAGGGUGAGAAUCCCGUGUGGCGAGGAGUGCGGUUCUUUGUAAAGUGCCUUCGAAGAGUCGAGUUGUUUGGGAAUGCAGCUCUAAGUGGGUGGUAAAUUCCAUCUAAAGCUAAAUAUUGGCGAGAGACCGAUAGCGAACAAGUACAGUGAUGGAAAGAUGAAAAGAACUUUGAAAAGAGAGUGAAAAAGUACGUGAAAUUGUUGAAAGGGAAGGGCAUUUGAUCAGACAUGGUGUUUUGUGCCCUCUGCUCCUUGUGGGUAGGGGAAUCUCGCAUUUCACUGGGCCAGCAUCAGUUUUGGUGGCAGGAUAAAUCCAUAGGAAUGUAGCUUGCCUCGGUAAGUAUUAUAGCCUGUGGGAAUACUGCCAGCUGGGACUGAGGACUAGCGACGUAAGUCAAGGAUGCUGGCAUAAUGGUUAUAUGCCGCACGUCUGAACGCAACAAAAAA
rnacentral:rRNA from 1 species